rnacentral:lncRNA from 1 species
AAUCUUCCAUUUCGCCAAAGAGUAGCAACACAGUAACGUUCAGAAGCAAGAACUUCAAAAUCAGAAAACGUUAGAGGCAAACACGGUUUCGUUCUAAUAUCAAAGAAUCCAGGUGUAAAUUUUGCAAAAGUAGAUUCAUUCAAAUAAUUAAAGAAAGAGGUAUGUUAAGGCUAAGCCGUUCUUUCAUUUGGCUUGAUCUCAUCAUCAUUUGACUGCUGACCCGUUGUUACUCAAUCUUUCCGGUACAUGUUCGGCUCGAGGAGCUGUUUCUAGUGCUGCUAUGUUUGGUUUUUUUUUUAUGGAUUUGCAGUUGAGCAAUCGACAAUUGUUGUGCCUGUAACAUUUCAAAAAUAACGUGAAGGCUAACCUCUUGUUCCUCCCGAGCUGGGGUUUUCUGAGCUUCUUGUUGGUCUCCUAGUCGUACGCUCCUGUUAGUGUGGGAGCUUACAUGGACAUGUUGAGCAUCACGUGAGACCACAUCCGUAGGGAUUGGCUCUGGUGCGUCCUCAAGGUUUCGCGGUGGUACACCAAUAACUGGAACAACUACACCAUUCUCUCCAUGGUUUUCAAGACCGUUUUUUC